CAACUUUCAGCAACGGAUCUCUUGGCUCUCGCAUCGAUGAAGAACGCAGCGAAAUGCGAUAAGUAAUGUGAAUUGCAGAAUUCAGUGAAUCAUAGAAUCUUUGAACGCACCUUGCGCCCUUUGGCUAUUCUGAAGGGCAUGCCUGUUUGAGUAUCAU
rnacentral:rRNA from 1 species